AUACGUAGGGUGCGAGCGUUGUCCGGAAUUACUGGGCGUAAAGAGCUCGUAGGUGGUUUGUCGCGUCGUCUGUGAAAUUCCGGGGCUUAACUCCGGGCGUGCAGGUGAUACGGGCAUAACUUGAGUACUGUAGGGGAGACUGGAAUUCCUGGGGUAGCGGUGAAAUGCGCAGUUAUCAGGAGGAACACCGGUGGCGAAGGGGGCGCUCUGGGCAGUAACUAACGCUGAGGAACGAAAGCAUGGGUAGCGAACAGGAUUAUAUGCCCUGGUAGUCCAUGCCGUAAACGGUGGGCGCUAGGUGUAGGGGUCUUCCACGACUUCUGUGCCGUAGCUAACGCAUUAAGCGCCCCGCCUGGGGAGUACGGCCGCAAGGCUAAAACUCAAAGGAAUUGACGGGG
rnacentral:rRNA from 1 species